rnacentral:rRNA from 1 species
GAUGAACGCUGGCGGCAUGCCUAAUACAUGCAAGUCGAACGAGAGGAAGGAAAGCUUGCUUUCCUGAAUCUAGUGGCGAACGGGUGAGUAACACGUAGGUAACCUGCCCAUGUGCCCGGGAUAACUUCUGGAAACGGAUGCUAAAACCGGAUAGGUAGCAGACAAGCAUUUGACUGCUAUUAAAGUGGCCUUGGCCAUGAACAUGGAUGGACCUGCGGUGCAUUAGCUAGUUGGUGAGGUAACGGCCCACCAAGGCGACGAUGCAUAGCCGGCCGGAGGGGGCGGACGGCCACAUUGGGAAUGAGACACGGCACAAACGCCUACGGGAGGCAGCAGUAGGGAAUUUUCGUCAAUGGGGGGAACCCUUAACGAGCAAUGCCGCGUGAGUGAGGAAGGUCUUCGGAUCGUAAAGCUCUGUUGUAAGAGAAAAACGGCACUCAUAGGGAAUGAUGAGUGAGUGAUGGUAUCUUACCAGAAAGUCACGGCUAACUACGUGCCAGCAGCCGCCGUAAAAC